rnacentral:rRNA from 1 species
GACGAACCGAGCGAACGUUAUUCGGAAUCACUGGGCUUAAAGGGCGCGUAGGCGGGCUGCCAAGUCAAGGGUGAAAGCCCCCGGCUCAACCGGGGAAGUGCCUCUGAUACUGGCGGCCUCGAGGGAGGUAGGGGCGUGCGGAACUUCCGGUGGAGCGGUGAAAUGCGUAGAUAUCGGAAGGAACACCGGUGGCGAAAGCGGCGCGCUGGACCUCUUCUGACGCUGAGGCGCGAAAGCGUGGGGAGCGAUCCGG